CAGACGAUAAAGCUAUCGGAAGUGCAUACAAAGUAGUCGAGCAACGUUAAAUCUUUGUGGAGAGCUUUAUAAUAGUUAAGGUGGCGAUUUGUACCGUCGAUAUUGCCUCGACAUUUAUUAUGUAUUCUCGAAUGUGAAAUUAGACGGUGCCUGAGAAAGGAAAUGUCAAAGCAAAUGUUUGGUGGUCUAACGUUUGCCAAUAUUGACACGGGUGCGGUAAAAACCGAGAGAAGUGUCCAAUUCCUGCUGGGAUAAGGAAGCGACGAGAAAUUGCCAUUACUUUGAAAAAGUCUAUCUGGUAAUUAGAAGUCAGUGAGGCGUGAUGUGUGCAGACCCAGCAUUUAAAUCGAAGAAGCGAAAUUUGCUGCCGGUAAACGUCAUCAUGUCACGUAGUUUAAGUGCACGCGUAAUAAUAACAACCGCUGAACAUUACGGUUAUCACAACGAACCGUGCAUAAUUUUCGCAAGCGGUGUGCAUAAUUCCGGCUAAUUAGCAGGUGCCGAACAAGGAUGGAUCUUGGACGAUGAAUUAACGCUAAGUAAAGCAAUUUCGUAAAGUGCUCCUCAAAUGAUAACAAUAUAGUGGAACUGAUGUCUGAUUCGAUAUUAGCAACUGGAAAUGUUGAUGGUGGAGAUUUCCGAUUCACCAUCUGCAAGGUGACAGAUUCGUGACUGGACUGGACGCGAUUUAUUAUUACAUCAUUUAUUCCAUCACCUGGCUAAUUGUCGCACCAAAAAAGCACAUUAAAAGCUCCAGAAAAUACAACAUAUGCCCCAAAACACGCCAAACCCUCCAUCAAACACACUCAUACGCGGGUAAAUGUCACGUUUGUAAUUAAUCUUUGAUUAGUUAUAAUGGCUUAUUAUCAGUUACAUCUGUAAGGACAAAUUGCCCGACCCAGUUCAUUUGAUCGAGGCUAAUGAAUAGUAUAAUCAACCCUGAGGAUAAAUGAGUAUUGAUCGUUGCUGCCUCAGAAUUAAAUAUUUAAAGAAAUUUCGACAAAAAUAAAGUGCAGACUCUUGAAUAAAUUUACAUAAAAGUGGACGAUAAAGGAAGCGACAUUCGAACGAAAUCGUCACUUGUACAUUUUUUAAAUAUUUUGCUAUUAGCAACAUCCGCUCCACGACCAUGAUUACGAUUUUUUGUAAAUUGUCUAAAGGUGCAGAAAUUAGACUUAAUGGCACCACGGAGGAAAUUGUUUCGUAAUUAUUAAAAACACACAUUUUUUCUUGUUAGAUAUAUGUCCGAAUUAAUAUGCAAAUAACGUCUAAACUUACCGUCUUCCGCAGCAACGAGUGUGAGUAUGCAUUUAAUCAAAUUUAAAUGUGAAUAGACCGUAUAAAAGUUAAUUUAUAAAUAAUGAUGCAUCGUUGUUGUGACUCGAAAAUCCUAUGUAGGUAGCCAAGUACUGGCUGCACACAUAAUUGCCUUGACGAAGACUUGUGCUGCAAUAAAUUAAAACCAGUAGUUGGUAGCAUUGUGACAUACGUCACACGCGUUUAGAUUUAAAAAAUAUGCAUUUAAAUAUAUGUUAAUUAUUCGUAGUUCGCUUCGUAUGUACCUACUAUUGCCAUUAUUUUUCAUACGAUAACAGUGCUUAAAAAUGUGUAAAUAGUUAUCUUUGUAAUACGAAAACAUGGUGCUGUGUUAAUGUAAAGACUUUGUAAAUAAAUUGUAUGGCUCCGUCAAUAAAAUUUUACACCUA